UCCUGAGCUUGGGUUAGGAGUUCUAGUCAUGAGUGUUCUGGGCCAAAGGAAGCAGAACUCAGGUUCUAGAAGCUGUGGCAAUAGAAAGAUGGGUCCUGGACAAGACACGCCUCAGUGAAAAGAGCAACCAGCUCUACUGAACUCUCUUCCCGAUGGUGAUCCACCUCAUCACAUCCCAGAAGCAACGAAGGCAACUUACGAAGGACAGACAGCUCUGAAACCAUGAGCAAAAAUGACUUCCUUCUGCAUGUGGUUUAGCUAAAUGAUGAUGACAUGCUCAUUUGGAUCAGACCCAAAAUUAUUGUAGAGGAAUGGCACUUUGCCUCAUUGCUGGCCUUGGCAUGGAGUCCUCAGAACCAAUACUGGGGAGAGCAUCACUAAGUGACCAAGAUUUGGGCUAUAGUCACAGUGCACGGAGUAAAGUAGUUUCUAAAUUGACUAUAUCAUGCUUAUUAGAGGCUAAAUGGUUUCUGUAGAACACAAGAACCAAUGUAUGUAUUUUCACCAAUUUAAUCAGCAUUCACAGUUACUCCAAUAAAAAUCCAUUUAUAACA